UCCCCGUUGCCGGGGCAGUCUGGCUAGAAAAAUUCAACUAACCAUAAGGGUUGCGCUCGUUAAUGGACUUAACCAAACAUCUCACGACACGAGCUGACGACGGCCAUGCAACACCUGUCACUGAGUUCCCCUUACGACUUACGAUCUAACAAAUAGCCUAAGAAAGCUACUUAAUCGUAAAUCCUAAGGGGCACUCACUCCUUUCGGAGUAAUUCUCAGGAUGUCAAGCCUUGGUAAGGUUCUUCGCUUACCAUCGAAUUAAACAACACGCUCCACCGCUUGUGCGGGUCCCCGUCAAUUCCUUUGAGUUUUAGUCUUGCGACCGUACUCCCCAGGCGGGAUGCUUAACGCGUUAGCUUCGCUACUGAAGCGGGUCGAUACGCCCAACAGCUAGCAUCCA
rnacentral:misc_RNA from 1 species